CACGUAGGGCGCAAGCGUUGUCCGGAAUUAUUGGGCGUAAAGGGCUCGUAGGCGGUCUGUUGCGUCUGCGGUGAAAACCCGGGGCUUAACCCCUGGCUUGCAGUGGAUACGGACAGACUAGAGGUAGGUAGGGGAGAAUGGAAUUCCCGGUGUAGCGGUGAAAUGCGCAGAUAUCGGGAGGAACACCGGUGGCGAAGGCGGUUCUCUGGGCCUUACCUGACGCUGAGGAGCGAAAGCGUGGGGAGCGAACAGG
rnacentral:rRNA from 1 species